CCGCCCGCCGCCGCCGCCGCCUUGUCCGCCGCGCUCGCCGUCGCCGCCACCGCUUGCGCGACCCGAGUCAGAUAGAGAUUACACUCGACUUUAAGCCAGGACGCAUCGUAACACGGACUGACAUUCUACAGAUUUGUAUGUAUAUAUACCGAUAUUUGUUACUAUAAUAUCCUGUAAUUAUGUAGCCACUUGACCGUCCGACGAUAGCAUAGUAUCCGAAAAAAAUAUGCUCUUAACCGUCCGCGGGAACCUUACUAUCCAAAGGGGUGGAAGAAAGAAUUGAUUUCAGAGCCAUCUAACGGAAUAUUUCGGCAUUAUUUACUAAUUCUCUCGAUGCGACAACGUAGCCUAACUAAAUAGUUAGCUCCAAAAAAAUUUAGAUGGCAGUGUACUUAUAAUUUUUGUAGAAAGUUGUGAAUGCGCUGCGCGGGGCGUGCGUCGCUAAAAAACCCGGACGGUUGACAGGAAAACAGUCUCGCGGGCCGGACGGUUGAGUGGGUAGACAAAUAUAAAACACGUAAUUUUACCAGAAAUAUGAACUUUUUAACGCAUUCACUGCCAGGGGGCGUGGCCUAGGAACAAACUUGUAUGACGGUGGACGCACAUGUGCGUCCGGCAGUGAAUGUGUUAAAGAUACAUGGCGUUAUUCAACAGAUACUCGGUAUUUGGCCGAAUAGUAGGUACAUUCGGCCGAAUGCCGAAUAUUCGGCAAAGUGGCCGAAUACCGAAUAGUUGCCGAGUAUCCGUGGCAUCUCUAACCGAAAUAGUCCGUACUUGCCAUUUCUAACUGUAACCAAAGUUGUACGACUGAUUCUAUGAUACUCAAAGCUUGUGGUCCGACGUGAAAACCUACAUGUUUAUACAAUAUAGGUCACUAGAUAAGUUUUGCAAUGGACAAAUUGUCGGGUGACAAGCAAAAGUCACUAAGUACUGUCAAAAAAUUAAAGUAACAAUGCACGUUAUUACACUUGUAACACGGUUUAUUGUCCAAUAAUUUCAAUGAUGUUAGUUAGUGACUUUUGCUUGUCACCCGACGACAUAUACUUUAUAGAACUAUAUUUCCAUAAACAUCGUUUGGCGGGAAAACAUUUACUUAUAAAAAAAAUAGAUUGAGGCUUUUAAAAUACCGGCGUCGGCUACAGUUCGUUUUUUUAGCAUUAGAAACGCGAUUUUGACGUAUCUUUUAAUUCAAAAACGUUUUUAAAAUCAGUAACAAUUACAUAUGAAAGCAAAAUAAUGUAAAUAAUCGUAUAUGAUCCAACUUUUUCAAUAAGUAGAUUAAAAAAUAAGUAAAUGUUAUUCCGCACAAUAUUGUCCAUGGAAAUAAGUAUAUGUCAUAGGCCACUUGUUUGUAUGGAAGUAUAUUGCAAAACUUAUCUGUUGACCUAUGUAACUAAGUAUGUAUUUGUCAAUGAAAAUGUAAAAUUUAUAUUAGACGUCUUUUAAUAUUCUUAAAUGUAGCAAUAAUCUAAAUAUCAUUGAAUUGGCAAUCUUGGAGAGAGACGUGUAUAUAUUGUUAUAUUAUAGUUCUAGAUUUUUAAAUUUAGCGGGGAACUAAAUAGAAAUUUGAGUGAACAAGACACAGUAUUCCCAUUUGUCCCCGCUCCACGUGACCGCCGCCAUACAUGAGGCGGGGACUGAUGGGAACGGUUUAUGAAGCGCCUAUUCCUGUGCCCGGCGGGGACAAGUGGGAACACAACACACACAGGUAAGAAUGCUAUGGAGAUAAUUAUAAAAAGAUGUGAAAUAUUUUAAGUGGCAGAGAUAAAUAGAGUUAGACCAAAAGUCUGCAAUGAUUUUGAUAGACCACGCAGUGCAAGUGUUAUUUAAAACGUCAAACUUCUAUGAAAUUAUGAGGUAUAAAUAACACUUGCACUGCGUGGGCUAUCAAAAUCGCUGCAGACUUGUCUUGGUUUAACUCUACUAAGAUUUGGAGGUGUAAAAGAUCUCCAAGCGUCAAUAUGAAUUCAUAUGAAAUGUUUCUCGACAGGAGAUUGUUAUGUAAACAUUCUAAUAAACUAUACUUUGUAUUUUUAGGUAUUUAAAUAAACAAAAUCUACCCGCAAAUGGCUCCUUAAGCCAGUUGAGGGUAGAUGAAAACAUUAUAUGAUCAAAUAAUGUAGGUUAAAGUCAGGUCGUUCAGUGACACAUCCAGGCGCUUUGUAUUUGGUUGGUUAACCAAUAAAUGUUAUAACUACCCGAAAAUUUACAAAUUGUUUGUUUACUUUUAUUUAAAUAUCUAUAGAUGCAGACUGUAUCUAGUGCUAUAGAAUACAUAGGUAACUAAUAUGUAUCCAAUAUGUCAAUAUUUUAUAAUAUAGCAGAGGUGUAUAAUCAUAUACAUAGGUUGCCUUUCCACUGAGCCGGAGUGGACUAGACGUGCGGCAAUCAACCAAUUCUCCCAUCUCCGCUCAUUCCUGCUUCAGUGGUAAGGCAGCCUUAUAUUGUUCAUAACACUUAGCAAAACCGUGUUAAAUGUUGUCUCUUUCUAACAAACAUAAAUUUCAAAAUGAUAGAGUUACCAAGUUAAGUUGGCAGCGUUUUUGAUAGCCCAGACAGUGCAAGUGUUAUUUCAAACUUCUAUGAAAUUAUGACGUUUAAAUAACACGCAGUCUGUGCUAUAAAAAUCGUUGCCGACUUAGCUUGGUCUAACUCCUUUAUUAUGAGAGGCAUAUUAAUGCCAAUAAUCUCCAUGGGUUAAUACAUUAAGUUUAGAGAUAUAAAAGAUCCCCAAGUGAAUUAAAUUGUAAUAUUCGAUCAAGUUGGGAACGUGAGUGUAAUAUUUUUGUCUGAAAUCAAAUUACUUACGCUAGUUAUUAAAAGUGUGUUCCCAUUUAUCCCCGCUGGGCACAGAUGGGAACAGGUGCAUAUAUUGAAGCAUUCCCAUCUGUCCCCGCCUCAUGUAUGGCGGCGGUCACGUGGGGCGGGGACAAAUGGGAAAACACCAUUUGAAGUGUGAGAGAAUUCCUUUUUGUCACCGCCUCAUGAACCUAUGCGGAAAUAAUUUAUACAUAUAUAUAUAUGUAUUUUAAUAAGGAAAGUGGUGAAUUUUGGUUGUUACCCGCAGAUGUUAGCUAUACUCUGUAUCUUUAGGAAUUUGAAUAAAAGUAAACAAAAUCUACCCUCAAAUGGCUCCUUAAGCCAGUUGAGGGUAGAUGAAAACAUUACACGAUCAAAUAAUGUAGAUUAAAGUCAGGUCGUUCAGUGACAGAUCCAGGCGGUUUUGUAUUUGGUUGGUUAACCAAUGUUAUAAUUACCCGAAAAUUUACAAAUUGUUUGUUUACUUUUAUUUAAAUACCUAAAGACACAGACUAUAGUGUAGGUUAGGACUCAAGUCCAGUGAGUCCUCUGUUUUUGACUCGAGUUUUUCAGACUCAUAUAGGUAAUUCAGUCGAAACUCAGAUGUUUUUUAAGCUCUUUAAAUUGAGACUCGACUCGAGAAACUCGAGUUCCUACAAACACUAUAGUUCAUUUUUUUUGCAUUAGAAAGAACUUGCAAGAAGGUAAGCGAUCUUGACAUGUCUUUUAAUUUAAUAACGCUUUAUAAAAAUCAAUAACUAUUACUUAUGAAAGCAGAAGAAUAUAAAUGAUCGUAUUAGCUUCAUAAUUGUUACGUAUUUGCCGUAACUUAUUUUUAAAAUGUGUUUUUCAAUUAAAAGACACAUCAAGAUUGUUUACCUUAUUUCUAAUGCUAAAAAAAAAGAACUAUAGUUGUCACAACAUGUUAGCUAAAGUUAUUCUGAACCCUUAGUUAUUCUUAAAAUAAAUCGCUUUAUUAUUGCCAUAUCCUUAAACAUCACGUAGACUGUUUAUUUCAUAGUUUUAGAAAAGACAUUUAUACUUUAAUAUGUCUAUGUACAUUUACCAUUAAAGGCCUGUGCACACUGGACGCGUGUGCGCAGACGUGCACGUGCGCAUUGUAAUAUACAGACCCUUAUGAAUGAAUGAAUGAAUGAAAAUCUUUAUUUCAGGCAACUAGUGGCCCAUACAUAAAUACCUUAAAACUAGCAUACAUAUUAUAAAAAUAUAUUUUAAAACUAAACACUACAAAUCACACACCGCCACAGAAUAAAUAAUAGUACUAGGUACAGAAGACUCUCUAACAAAACGCGUCUGUCACGAUCAGCACAGAUAUGGCCGCUAGGUGGCGACAGCGCCACGCGCGGCUUAUGGCAAACCCCAAAAUUGGGGUCGAACGGAUGGACUUUUAGCUACCUGUAGCAAAGCGCCGAAAUCGCGGAGUGAGCCACGCCUGACACCGCUUGCUAAUAUGUCAGCUAAGAGAAUAGAGUGUAUAGAGGCGGAUUGUCAAAGUAAAUUAUGUAGACAAUGUUUUACUACCAUUUUUCGACAGAAUAUUAACACUGUUAGAACGCCAUUUGACUUUGAUCCUUUAUUAUUUCACUGAUAUGUGUUAACUUGUUAAAUAUUAAUAUUAACGCCAUCUACUCGACUAUAGGCCAAAGGUAUGGUGCAAUGUUUUCGAGCGAUGGCGCCAUAAUCUUCAUAAACUACGAAACAGGUAAAAAACUGCAGAAUGCGCACCUGAAGAACCGAAAUGUAGGUAUAGUUCCGCUGGCCGAUAAUUCGGCGGCCGGAUACCGAAUAUUCGGCCUGAACUUCGGCCUUUUCAGGCCGAAUAUUCGGUAUCCGGCCAAACAACUAUCCGUUGAAUCUCUAGUUCUAACAUUUUAGCGCACGUGCACGUCUGCGCACACGCAGCCGGUGUGCUCCGGCCUUUAUUUGUACAUAAAGCAUUCCUCAUUUGUGACUGAUUUGGUAAAUAUGUAGCCAUAUGCCUAGUCAAGAGCCAUUUCCCUCUUAAUGGUUAAAUAUUUAAAAUUAUAUAAUAUAAUUCAGAGGUUACAUUUGAUAAAUUAAUAUUAGGGGACAUCCAUUGACUACAUCACACAAUUUUUUUAGACCCCUACUCCCCCUUGUCACACUUUUUCAUAGCCUUCUAAGGCCCAAGGUCCUACCUGUAGUAUUUCUUCAGUUCGAUGAAAUUUAAACCAUAUUUAAUUGGAAUAGAGUUAUAUGUAUAUUGUUUCGUAAAAUUUUCAAACAAUUAAUUAAUUGCCUUAACAUUGUCAACCUUCAAGGUGUCACAUGCGGGUUGACGACCUUUUAAAAACCUAAAAUGCUAUCUGAUUUUGGAGAAACGUGUUUAGUUUUUGAGAAAUGUAACUUCUAUUUUGUAUUAUAUUGUGAUUUUUUUAACAUAUCUUUAGUUAAUAUGAAUUUUGAGUAAUUUAAGUUACAUUAGCAGCUGUGCAGCUUUUGGUCGUUAUAUGGGGCAUUAUCUAUAUAAGCACCAUCGACAAUAAGGUCUCUUUUCAUAGAUAACGCCACAUAUUAUUAAUUGUCAACGAAAUUGCACGUAGUAUUAAAAAAUAUUUCAUUUCGAUAUCACUUAGUACCUUUAAUUACAUAUCCUUUUAAAUUUGACUGAGAUGUAAUUAUUUUGUAAGUAAUUAUAAUGAUAAAUUCAAAAAUUGUUUUUCUUUAUUGUUAUGUGAGAAACAGCAAUAAUAUUUUAGUUUUAUAGAGAAAUAUUUAAUUAUCAUUUUUUAUUUAUUAUAGAGAAAGUGAGUGAAGUGUUGAAUGACAAUAUUUAUAUAAUUAUAUAUAAGCUUCGACAUUACAGAAGUCAUCGGAUAUUUUAAAGGCCUGUGCACACCGGAUGCGUGCGCGUAGACGUGCUCGAGCGUGUUGUAAUAUACAAAUCCUUAUGAGAGACGGCACACCGCUUGCGUGACGUAUGCGUGCACGGCUCCAAAAUUUUAGUGCACGUGCACAUCUUCGCACUCCCAGCCGAUGUGCACUAGCCUUAAAAAAAGAGAUUUGUUACUUUUUCAUAAGUUAUGUGAAGUCUAAUCGAAAAUUAUAUUUUUAUAUAGAUAUUGUCGUCUGAAAUGUUAGAGAGAUGUAGUAUGGACUGAUACAUGUGUGGAUAUCGCUAUUUGUAAAUAUAUCUAAGUUAAUUAAAAUUGUCUUUGCAACAUAA